rnacentral:rRNA from 1 species
UACGGGGGGGGCAAGCGUUGUUCGGAAUUACUGGGCGUAAAGGGCUCGUAGGCGGCCAACUAAGUCGGAUGUGAAAUCCCCAGGCUUAACCUGGGAACUGCAUCCGAUACUGGAUGGCUUGAAUUCGGGAGAGGGAUGCAGAAUUCCAGGUGUAGCGGUGAAAUGCGUAGAUAUCUGGAGGAAUACCGAUGGCGAAGGCAGCCCCCUGGAUAACACUGACGCUCAUGCACGAAAGCGUGGGGAGCAAACAGG